ensembl:lncRNA
CUGAAAUACUGCAAUUCUCUCUGGCACUACAGCAUAGUUUCUCUUCACUGUUCAUUUCCGUUAUUUGCUCUUAUUACAUGAAUAAGAAAGCCGAAAAUAUGAAAGGAGGGGCUUAAAAAGGUCAAUGUCACCCGAAUGAAAAAACGAAAGGUAGCUACAACUAAUAACUUGGUAUUUACACUGGAAGGAAAUGUUGUGGCGUACCAGAUUCUUGGUGAACUUCAUUAGUUUCGUCUUCCAUAUGUAGGUACCUACUUUUAUGCUAACAUAAGAAGUUUUUAAGAGUCAUGACCCGUUUUCAUGUGGCGUGAAGUUAUUGGAUUAAACUGGUUAGCAAAUAGCGUCACAAAAAGUUCUCAAAAUAUCCAUGAAACCCUCCGAAUUUAAAAGUGGGCCUGCACAUACUUUGCAAGAAAAAGGAUUAUGUGAAGGCUCAUAGAGAAUGGAUUUUGAUGUUUUCCUUCAGCAGUCCAACAUCCCAUUCGUCCUUUCCAAAUAGAGUGAUGACGCCCAACGUGGGGCUCGAACCCACGACCCUGAGAUUAAGAGUCUC